AAAAGUGAAAAAAGGAAAAAAAAGAAGCUUUUCACGGUUUAGGUUUUGCUCUCCAUCUCCUUUCUCUUCCUCUUCGUUCCAAGACCUAAUUGCCGACUUAAUCUCCGACAAAUAUUUUUCCUCCUUUGAUUAUGUUGUUCAUCCUGGGAGAUUAUUUCCUUGCGGAAAUCCCCUGAAUGAUUUACCGAUGGGAAAUUUUCCGCUUACCUAACCUAACGGAGUACGGCGGAUGGUGAGAUGGACUCGAUUCUAUGCACGGCACUGGAGGAAAUCUGUUGUCAGGGAAAUAUAGGGAUCCCUUUAGUUUUUCUGGUUACGGCUCUCUCCCAACCUCUCUGUCCCUCCGCCAAGGCUCAUGUUUGUAGAAAUAUGUUAUCGAUCCCGCACAGUUCAAGGCGAAUAACAUUGUGUACGGACCAUCGGAUUUUUCGAUUCAACAGCACAUACUGGAUUUGAGGAUCCUCGCCAAUGAGAAGCUCUGAGGCUCCAACAAAUCACAACGAACAGAUCUCGAAGAUGGUGGAGAAGACGGCUAAGUUUGACUAAUAUUCCUGAGAUUCCCUAUCCUCCUCAUUGUAUCAUAACUUGUUCGUGCUAUGCAGAGUGAGCACUGUGUCACUCUUAGGCGAAAGAAUUGCGUUAAUGGUUUUGUGGGUUUGAUGGAGAAAGACGGUCUAAUGUUUUUGUGGAUUGGUUUAAGGAAAAACAGAUUGAGUCAUUGUGGUUGUAGGUAUCUGUAUUUGAUUUUGUGGCUACUGCACUCUCUGCCCGAAACCAUAGUGUUCUUCCUCCUCCAAAAUAUAUUGUAGUCUACUCUGCUGGCUGCGCCACAUUUGUCCUUCCUCUUCAUGUUGCAAAAGACAUCAGAGGUGCUCUGGCACAUCUACAGGUAUUAGCAACUCUGGUAAAAGGCUUGAUGCUUCUGAAAUUAGCCUUGUUAGUUUAUACAAUUAGUUUAAACAAGAAGCUCCUGAGGCGAGAGUUCAUGGCGGCAUUGCCUUUAUCACUGCAGAGACUGAUUCUGCUUCCAGUCCGACAACAUAGCAUGCUUACCAGAGGAGGAGAAGAAGCUCCUGUCUUGCA